rnacentral:rRNA from 1 species
AUACGGAGGGUGCGAGCGUUAAUCGGAAUUACUGGGCGUAAAGCGCACGUAGGCGGUUGGUUAAGUUAGAUGUGAAAGCCCCGGGCUUAACCUGGGAACUGCAUUUAAAACUGGCGAACUAGAGUUGAGUAGAGGGGAGUGGAAUUUCAGGUGUAGCGGUGAAAUGCGUAGAGAUCUGAAGGAACACCAGUGGCGAAGGCGACUCCCUGGACUCGAACUGACGCUGAGGUACGAAAGCGUGGGUAGCAAACGGGAUUAGAAACCCUAGUAGUCC